AAUUUGGCGGUAUUUUAGUCUUUCUCUGAGGUACCUGUCCUAUAAUUGAUAAUCCACGAUAAAAUUUACUUAUUUUAAAAAUUUAUAUAUCAUCGUAAAAGAGUAUUUUAAAAGAAAAUUAAUAUUCAAAAUAUAUAAUUUUAUAAUAAAUCAGAUCAAGGUGUAGUUUAUAAAUAAGAAGAGAUGGGUUACUUUUUAUUUAUAUUUGGAUAUAAAAGUGUAUUUUUUAUUGAAAUUGGAUUUGAAAGUAAUUUUUAAAAAUUUUUAUUAAUGAUUUAAGCUCUAAAAUAUGUACAUAUUGCCCGUCGCUUUUGUUUUAAAAUGAAAUAAGUCGUAACAAAGUAGAUUUACUGGAAAGUGAAUCUAGAUU
rnacentral:rRNA from 1 species